rnacentral:lncRNA from 1 species
GAGAUGAUCCCAGACAGAGACCCCAGGACGCCACAAAGAGGUGCAAGUAAAAGGUGGAGAAACCGAAGAGAAAGAGAAGCAGAAGGAUGUGGGCGCAAUGGAGAAAGAUGUUACUGAGACUUCAGGGUAGUGAUGCCCACCUACGACCAUGAUGGAAUCUUGGCCUGUGCUGCGGCCAAGGACCAUGUCUAGGUCUGUGGCCAUGCAGUUGCCACCAAAGGCCAGGCACACGUCCCUGGUCUGGGCUGUUGAUUAUGGACACGUUGAUAUAUGUGAUCUGCGCAGAACUGGGUCUGCUACUCACAUGGACAUAGUGGGAGUGCUGGACCUGAGGAGUUAAGAGAAGGAGCGCUCAUCUCGUCCCUAACCAGCUGGGUAGAACUGGCACAUGACCCUGAAAGGACAGUAGAGUUGUUCCUCUUUGCUUGUGUUCGUAAUUGAGUUGCCUCAAGAUCAAUAUGAAACUGCCUUGGAUACAGAAAGUCAAUAGCUACUUCCAAAGUCAGCCCUGUGCAGUGUAGGUGUCUGUAAAGAAAAAUUCCAGCUGCUGCUUCAGAGGAAAUCUACAUCUGCAUAACAAAACUUGGAGGCUCAAUAGAAGAUGUGCCUACUCUUAUGCAGCUUGAUAUGCCAAGACUGGUUGAUACCUAUGUAUGGGAGGCCUCCCAUUUCCUGAUGAGAACAUGUGGAGUGGGUAGAUGGAGACAGGAUGAGAUGGGAGGACAAGCAGAAAAGGAAGCUGAAGUUGGGGUAUAAAGUAAGUAAGUAACUUAAUCAAUAGUUGACUUGAAAUCUUGGCCUUUCGGUGAUGAUACCCAAUAUGUACAGUACAUGAGAGGCAUCCUGAGGAAUACAAAUCAUAAAGAAACAAGGAAAACAGCUUCAUAUUGUUGUUCAAUUCACAUUCAGAUAUAUGUGUUUUCUUUCUUCUUUCAAUGCAAUUAAUACGAACAUAAUUUUUGAAUACAUUGGAUAAACCUAUAUUUUUCUCAAAAAUGCAUUUAAAG